rnacentral:rRNA from 1 species
ACUAGUCUGGGAUACCACUUGGAAACAAGGUGCUAAUACCGGAUAAGAAAGCGGAUCGCAUGAUCAGCUUUUAAAAGGCGGCGUAAGCUGUCGCUAUGGGAUGGCCCCGCGGUGCAUUAGCUAGUUGGUAAGGUAAAGGCUUACCAAGGCGAUGAUGCAUAGCCGAGUUGAGAGACUGAUCGGCCACAUUGGGACUGAGACACGGCCCAAACUCCUACGGGAGGCAGCAGA